CUCUCACUAGCUCAACGGAUAGAGCGCCCGCGUCCUAAGCGGCGGAUCCGGGUUCGACUCCUGGGUGGGAGAC
rnacentral:tRNA from 1 species